AUUUCCCCCUUCUCGCUUUCCCUUGGAGUAUUUAUUUCUCCAUGCUGCCAUCGAAGGGAAUUAGCACGUCUGCUUGUUUGGUAGAUGCGAUAAGGAGUUGUUAUAUAUUGUUUGGCAUACGGAUGCGAUUAGAAGUCAGUUCAGUUUGAUGUUCAAUUUGGAGAAACAUUCAUUCGAUUGAAUGUGUUUAAUCAUCAAAUGCAGGUGCUUGCAUUCUUAGAUAGCUAAGAUUAUACUCCCUCCGUUCCAUAAUUCUUGUCUCAAAUUUGCCCAAAAAUGGAUGUAUCUAUUUCUAGAAAGCAUCUAGAUACAUGUAAUAUUUCGACAAGAAUUAUGGAACGGAGGGAAUAUGUCAGUAUGAUUCUUGUUAUGACAUGGAUUGUUCCUGUUUAUUUACGGUGUUGUUGAUGCUUGGCCCAAUUGAGAAAAAUCUGACUUGGGUAAGGACCCCUCUGCUCUCUCUGAAUUCUAUUUUCAUGAAACUUUGCACCCUGCGAGAAUCUGACUUUGAACUGCUAUUAGUUUUGGUUUCAUGUGUUUCAUUAACCCUCUCUUUUUACUUCCAAUACCCACUUUCAUGUGGAGGAUCAGUGGUGAAGUGUUUUUAUGAUGUCAGUUCUCCUAUGUCUACUUCUAUCUAUUAUGGUCUGCUAUGUCAGUUCUCCUAUGUCUACUUCUAUCUAUUAUAUCCUGAGUAAAUGUGGAAGCCACACCAGGCUUGAAUUAUUGAGCAGCUGCAUGCCCUAGGAGUAGGCCAUGCUGUCAUUGUCAAUUUGUCAUGGUGGUUUCUCCAGCUUGGUUAGAGGCUGGCUCCCAUUUUCAAAAUUCAAAUUUCAAACUGCAACAAAUGAUGCAUUAUAUACCUAUUAAUGUUUCAUUUUGCCCAUGUCCAUAUAAUUCUCAAUAAGUCUCUUGGUUUUUUAUUAUUCGAACAAACACAACUCUACCUGAUUCAACUAUUUUUGCACACAAAGUGUUGGCAGAACACUUCCAUCACUGCUACGGAGCCCAUGUUUAGAUCUGCAUUGAGGUUUCACAAUCAACUCUUCCUGAUAUCAAGGGACAAACUGCUGAGUCAAGUCCAAUACCUAUAUAUCCAGAUAUAUUUAUAUUUCUUAUACAAGAACCUAGCUCAUAUCUGUGUGUAGAACACUUCCAUAACUGCUACAGAGUCCAAUACGUUUGGAAUCAAGACUAAGUAUCCUUUCCCGUUCUUGCUUUUGCUCUAUCAUUUGCCUUGCCCCAUGGUUGCUAUGGCAGUAAUGAUUCCUUUAUAUUUGGAAGGUUCUUUUCUUCUGAACAUAAGGAUCCUUUCUCAGUGGAACGUAUUUUAAUUCAGUUCUCUGCUUUUAAGCUUGGGGUCUUCCAUAAUAUAAGUGUUGACAUUUAGCUGGAAUUUACUUACUAGAGUUGUGGAUGUUGUCAUCUCAAUUAGGAAACAAGAAACUUUCUUGCACUGGAAUGCUUGGUUACACCUCACAUUUAUUGCAUUUUUUUUGCAGUUAAUAAAAGAACAUGGAUACCUUAUGAAAUUACACAGAUGGUCGACAGGAAAACAUAUGAUGUCGAACUUCAUGUAAAAUUGUGAUAAGUUCAGUUCGGAAACAUCACUGACUGCAUAGCAAGGAUUCGAGUCCAACAAAUACAUUGUUUUUCCCGUGUAUCUUGGAGCCGUGCGAGCGUGGUGGCAGAGUGGAGCAAUGCUUCAAUCAAGCACAUGUGCGGCUACUGAUUACUUAAUAACCCCUCACAAAUUGCUCAUUGAAUUUGUGAAAAAAAUUCCAUGGCAGAAGGCUCGGCUUUGGUUCACGUGAGGCCGCCGAGGGAUCGCUAGCCGAGCUGCGGCUCACCUGCAAUUGCAUCAGAGAGAUCUAUCUGGAUCAUGCUUGACCGGGCCAUCAGCCAGGCGUCCAGCACUCUGUCUCCAAGGAUAUAUGGUGCAAUUUUACUAUUUUGUGAAAAAGCAGUGCAACACUUAGACAUUUGCCAUGCUAUUACCGACAGCUUUGUUUUCUGAAAUCAGUUAUUAAUCUGGAUAUGGUUAUGUGGCAAGUGACAGAAUACUAGAUUGACAGUUUGAUAUACAUUGCAGGCCGUCCUAGAAGAGAUUGACGGGUCAAUGUUCGUCAUCCAUGGCAUGGCCUCCUCCUCCCAUUACUAUGUGCGCCGAGGAAGGCCAUCCUGUUGCACGUGCCGGCAUACAGGAUGCCGCAUGCUGCCGGACCAUGUGGAGCAUGCUGGCGCAGGAGUAGUCCUUCAAGAAGGAACAUCUGCAUCCUCACCCGACGAUGGAUGACAUAGUUAGAGAUAGUACUUUAGAGUUUAUUAGAGUUGUGACGGCGGGCAGACCUAAAGCAUCCUGCGUGAUGUUGUUAAUGAUGGAUAAAUUAAAGGGGAGAUGCAAAAUUUUGUUAUGUCAAAAUAGUAGCAGCCGCAGACAAUGAUAAAUUGCUUUUAUUGUACUAGCUGUACUAGCUCUUGGAGUAAUUGCUUUUAUUGUACUAGCUGUACUAAGGGGAUUAGCCGGCCAUCUGACUACGACCUAGUUCUCGUGAGAUCUCGUCUAAUCCCAACAGAAACAAGUCCACCCUACCGAUCUGGGAGGCGCUGGAGUGCUCGGGAAGGCCAGGAACAACGGCGUCCUCUCCCGUCGUCGGCCAGUGCCAAUACAGGCCGAAGGGACGCGCUACCUCAGCCGUACGACUACUUCGCCUACUUCCACGACAAUGGCGUCCUCCUCCAUCGCGCCCGCUACAUUGAUGCGUUAUGACAACAUUGAGGUGCUAACAGGGAGCAACUUCCAGAAUUGGAAGUCCCAUGUCGAAAUGAGUUUGGGGUCAAUGGACUCGAUUAUGCUCUCAGGGAAGAGAAACCUAAGCCUCCAACUCCUGGAGUUGCUGGGUAUGAUGAACUUAUGAAAACUUAUGAAAUAAAGCUGGAGAAGUGGGACAAUUCAAAUCAUGUCGCCUUUCUUGUUAUGAAAACUUAUGAAAUAAAGCUGAAGAAGUGGGACAAUUCAAAUCAUGUCGCCUUUUCUAGUUAUGAAAACUUCAUCUCCCCUGAUAUUAUUGGGGCUCUCCCCGACAAGGGCACUGCUAAAGAAUUUCUUAAAGCAGUUGAAGAACAAUUCAAAAGUUCGGAAAAAGUAUAUUCUCGAGAACUUCUUGGCAAGCUUCUUGAGAAGUAUGUGAUUGAAGGAAAUGUAAGAGGCUAUAUCUUGAGGAUGGUGAAUGCAACUUCGAAGCUUAAGGCUUUGGAGUUUGUCCUUAAUGAAAAUAUCCUAAUCCUCUUGAUAUUAGAGUCUCUCCCUCCAGAAUUUGAUCAGUUCAAGAUCUUACAAUUCCCUGAAAGAAAAAUGGGUGCUCGCGGAGAUGACUCCUCGAGUUGUUGAGAAAGAACAGAGGAUCAUGAAACAGGCAAAGGACCAGGCUUUUCAUGGUGGCUCUUCCAAGAGAAAGCAUGACGGCCAGGCAUCUUCCUCAAAGGCCCCAAAGAAGCAAUUCAUCCAAAAUGAUACUCAGGCUGCUCCAAAAGGGCAAGGGCCAUGCUGCCAGCACCUCUGCUAGAGAUGUGAAGAAUGCUUGCCAUUUUUGCAAGGAGGUAGGCCAUUUCCGGAAGAAUUGCCCUGGAUUCCUCAAGUGGAUGAUGAAGAGAGGUAUUAAGUUUGAUCCGCACCAUAAAGGCAAGAACAAGAAGCAUUAAAGUCGUCAAUGGGAAGGAAGCCGAUGUUGAAGCCGUGGGGACUCUCACAUUGGAGCUGCACACCGGCUUUCAUCUACAUUUGAAUAAUGUCCUUUACGUACCUACAUUGAGUAGGAAUUUAAUUUCAGUUUCUUGCUUAGACGAUAUUUAUAUUGCAUGUUUGUUUGGAAAUCAACGAUGCAUUA